AUCCAGUCAAAAACGAAAACCUCCACUAAAGAAGUUGAAGCUAUGGCGAUGAAACCCAAUGGAUAGUAAUCCACUAGAAAGUCUCCCGUCACCACCGGAAAGUCUCCCGUGCAGUAUGCUGUUAAAUUGUUUUGGCCGUGUGGCGAUUCUGAUUUUUAGGAACGAACGAACACACAUGAAUUUCAUAUGUUCAUGUCUUCCCUUCUUCAGGUUCAUUCCUUUAUUCAUAUAAUGGUUUCAUGGCCAAGCGUUAACCAUUCGAAAUAUUUGUCAUUCAGCUAUUUGAUCUGGUAUAUGGAGAAUUUUCAAGAUUUCUAUUCGGUUUGCUCUGGGUGAGAACAAAUCGUAAAAAGAUGCAGCCACAACAGGAAUAAAAAACACUAUGAAAACAUUAUUACAAAGCAAAACGGAUCAAGCAUCUUCGCACAUGGUGUUCAAGAGAUCAUACAGAUGGACCUGAAGACAAUUGACAGAGCCUUUCAUGUCUCCGGCAUAUUGUCCAUGGCACAGUUGGAUAUCUGGAGCCCAAGUAUAUAACUCUGGAGUCCUUUUUCGUGGGUCAAACUGUGGAGUCCUUCUUGAGCUUAUGUCAGGCGUAGGCGUAGAAGCCAUAUCGAAUGAACACUUCCGAGUUCAUUAUACAAGGUAUAUUACUAAUCUGAGCUUUUUUAUUUUUUAAUGAACAGGCGUACAAAACAAAGAAAUGUUGCUAAGUGUCGGUCAGGAAAUGGCACUUCUGAGCUGUAGAGUUUGGUUAAAACGUUUUUCAGCAAUAUGCACCAAACUGUGAUCGAGAAUCGUGGAUUAAGGUUCUCGACUUUGUUAGCAGGAUUUUCCAUGGAAGUGUAGUUUUUUUUUGUUGCUAACAUCGAUAGAAGUGUAGUUUUGAGAGGUACGAAGCUGUUAUGUAAUUGUGAGGAUUCUUGAGAAGAUUUGCGGUGGGUUAGCAGAAACAACAGCUGGCAAAUUAAUAGUAAUGUUUUCCAAGGUAAAAUACUGAUUGAAAGUGUACGGUUCUUUUGUUUAUUUAUGAGUGAAUAAUACUAUUGUCUGUUUAGUUUAACCCUUUCCAUUACCAUGUUUCUAAAGUGAUCGACUUAGACGCUGCGAAGAGUUUUGAAAAUGGAGAAGGUGUGCGUCUGAUAGCACCUCAGGAUGCCUGCAAGCUGCAACCAUUCAGCCAAGUAUAUUCGCACGGAAAUAUAGAUUGAUGGCGCGGACGGGUAAACACUCGAAUCUAGGAAAUAGUUGGCUCUGGAUGAAUCCAUUGAGAAGUUGCGACACAACGUCAAAGUCUUUCUCGACCGCCAGUGUCACGAUCUUGG